rnacentral:rRNA from 1 species
UACAGAGGGUGCGAGCGUUAAUCGGAAUUACUGGGCGUAAAGCGCACGUAGGUGGCGACGUAAGUCGGGUGUGAAAGCCCUGGGCUCAACCUGGGAAUUGCAUUCGAGACUGCAUUGCUGGAGUACGGAAGAGGAAGGCGGAGUUCCCGGUGUAGCGGUGAAAUGCGUAGAUAUCGGGAGGAACAUCAGUGGCGAAGGCGGCCUUCUGGUCCAGUACUGACACUCAAGUGCGAAAGCGUGGGGAGCAAACAGG